CCAUCCUAGUACUAUUCUCGCUCAAAUGGGUUUCAUACCUAUGGGACUGGCUAGUUUUUACGUUGGCUCGCCAAGCCUAUCACAACCCUCCUCCUUUACCCGGGCUUGGGACCGGCUAUGCCUAAAAGACAUAGGCGGAGUUUCAGUUUUCACUAAAUACAAAUUAAAAAAUAAUAUAUAUAUGAACCUUUUCAUUAGCUUUGGCUGCACGUUUCUGGAUAAUGUCAAUAUCAAUAUUUGUAAGUACUCUUAUGAACUCAUAUGAUGCAUCUCCCACUUUUUUUUAUCUGCAAGGUACCUGACAUAGUGUUUGGACAGACUUAUUUCUGGUAGUAACUUCUCCAUUGUGAAACUACUUUCCACUACAGUAGCUUGCGGACAAUGUGGGCUACUACAAGACCGAGACCUGCAUAGAUGAUUACAUUUAGGAGUGAAUGGUGAAGAAAAUCACCAAAAUGGAAGGAGUUCUGUAUUAUGAUCUAUUACAAUGUGCUUGAAGCAAUACAGAACCAUGAUUAUACUUGGUAUAGUACAAACUAAAUGUACAAUACAGACUUCCAAGUAGAAUCUUUGGCCUACAGCUCACCUGUUAUCUGUCACUUUAGCAGUUACUUGGGUGGGACAACCAAUGUAUAGAUAAGAAAUGCCGAAACGAAGAUAAUCACCCCUACUAAGGUACAUAUUGGGCUUGUUCACAACAUCAAGUUAGACCUCUCGGCUCUUUUGAUUGGAUCGACUUCUUCUGACAAUGGAUACUCAAUGCGCCGUGGGUUACAGGUCACAUAUUUGUUCGGUGAGAACUCUGAGAAUAGGGUCUUCUUCCCUUUCUUCUUAAAACUAGACCAAGCCUUAUCCCAGUCGGUUGAUGAUGUAUCACCUGAAAAGUUAGAUAAGAGAAAUGAUUCAA